rnacentral:rRNA from 1 species
UACAGAGGUCUCAAGCGUUGUUCGGAUUCAUUGGGCGUAAGGGCGCGUAGGCUGCGGGGUAAGUCGGGUGUGAAAUCUCAGAGCUCAACUCUGAAAUUGCACUUGAUACUGCUCUGCUAGAGGACUGGAGAGGAGAUUGGAAUUCACGGUGUAGCAGUGAAAUGCGUAGAUAUCGUGAGGAAGACCAGUGGCGAAGGCGGAGUCUCUGGACAGUUCCUGACGCUGAGGCGCGAAGGCCAGGGGAGCAAACGGG